UAUGUUUUACGUGCAUCAUCAGCUGUAUCUCGUACAGAUUUACAUUGAGAUGAUUUGCAUCGCAGCACAAGCUUCAGCAGGUUUUAUAUCUCUGUGAGUCUGAACUCUGAGAAUCUGAACCAACAGCAACCAUGAGCUUCAUCACCAUCUUCAUCUGGAUCUUCACUAGCUGCUGUUUCACAGAAUCAGUAUCUGGAGUUACAGUCACUCAGACGCCUGCAGAGAAACCUGUGCAACCAGGAGACACAGUUACUAUGUCCUGUAAAACCAGUUUUGCAGUGUACCAGGGUUGGGGUUAUCAGCCUCUACAUUGGUACUUACAGAAACCUGGAGAAGCUCCUAAACUCCUGAUUUAUGCUGCGAACCUUCGACCGUCAGGAACUCCAUCUAGAUUCAGUGGCAGUGGAUCUAACAGUGAUUUCACUCUGACCAUCAGUGGAGUCCAGACUGAAGAUGCUGGACAUUAUUACUGUCAGAGUGUACAUGCCAUCAACAUUCAACAUAUGUUCACACAGUGA